rnacentral:rRNA from 2 species
CAUAUCAGACGCUCACUGGACAAAGUGAGAUGGACUCUGGUAAUUAUGCCGUCAGGUGGAUGGCUCGGCUCAAGCGCUGAUGAAGGACGUGCCAAGCUGCGAUAAGCUCAGGGUAGGUGCAUGGAACCUAUGAACCUGAGAUUUCCUAAUGAGACCUCUUAGCACAUUUGUGCUGAUCAGUAAUGAUCGGGAACGCCCCGAAUUGAAACAUCUUAGUAGGGGCAGGAAGAGAAAUCGAAGAGAUGCCGUUAGUAAUGGCGAAUGAACACGGCACAGUUCAAACUGAAUCCCUCCAGUAAUGUGAGGGAGAUGUGGUGUUAUAGGAACUUUCUAAGAUUCCUAUCUUUUCUUAGCUGAACUUUUCUGGAACGUUAGACCAUAGAGUGUGAUAGUCACGUAAGCAAUGAAAAGAGGAAUUGGAAAUGUUCCUGAGUAUCGUGUGUUGGAAAUCACGCGAGAAUUUGGGAGGCACCAACUUCCAAAACUAAAUACGUCUUGAGACCGAUAGCGAAAUAGUAGGGUGACCGAAAACUGAAAAGUACCCCCAAAAGGGAGGUUAAAAGUGCCUGAAACCUGAUGGUGAUGGAGCGAUAUGGCAUGAAAGGAUCUUUAGUUCGAAGGAAUCAACCGCGAGGUUGUAGUACGAGUUCUAAUGCCGAUGUCAUAUCAUACGUUUUGAAGAACGGGCCAGGGAGUGUAACUAAGUGGCGAUGGCUAACCUUUUAUCUGGGAAGCCGAAGCGAAAGCAACAUGCGUGCAACCUUUACGGGUGAGACGCGGCGUAUACAAGUGCGUGGAGUCACUAAGUUACGACCCGAAGCCGGGUGAUCUAGGCGUGGGCAGGUUGAAGCGUGGCGAAAGCUACGUGGAGGACCGCAAGCGGUAUUGAUCUGCAAAUCAUUCGUGUGACCUGCGUCUCGGAGUGAAAGGCUAAUCUAACCCGGCAUCAGCUGGUUCCUUCCGAAACAUGUCGUAGCAUGACCUAACUGGAGAUAGUCGGUGGAGUAGAGCACUGAUUGAUGGCCCUGGGGAAGAAAUUCCUCAUCCGUCUGUCAAACUCCGAACCCACCGUCGUCGUAGAAGGUUGGAGUCCGGACUACUGGGGUAAGCCUGUAGUCCGUAAGGGAGACAACCCAGCCCGUGGUUAAGGUCCCUAAGUGUCGACUAAGUGUUAAUACUAAAGGGCGUCCCAAGCCCUAGACAGCUGGAAGGUUAGCUUAGAAGCAGCUAUCCUUUAAAGAGUGCGUAACAGCCCACCAGUCGAGGUUUGGGGCCCCGAAAAUGGACGGGGCUCAAGUCGACCACCGAUACCACGGAGUACCGUAAGGUAAUCUCGUAGGAAGGCGUUGCGUUUGGGUAGAAGCAGGGCUGUGAAGUCCUGUGGACCGAGCGGAAACGAAAAUCCUGGUAAUAGUAGCAGCAUAGUUAGGUGAGAAUCCUAACCGCCGAAGGGGCUAGGUUUCCUCGGCAAUGAUCGUCAGCCGAGGGUUAGUCGGUCCUAAGUUGUACCGUAAUUCGAGUACAUCAAAAGGGAAACAGGUUAAUAUUCCUGUACUAUUCAACAAUAAAACUGACGUUUUGGGGCAGGCUGAGCGGCGCUGUCGCGCCGUUUAAGCAUCUAAAUCUGUGGAGAGCCGUAAUGGCGAGAAGCAGACGAAUAUGUUAUGACGAAAGUCGGCUGCACCCCGGAACCCGUGAAAAGGGAGUUGAAUAUCCGUACCGAGAUCUGACACAGGUGCCCCUAGCUGAAAAGGCUAAGGCGUGUCGGAAUAAUUUGGCUAAGGGAAUUCGGCAAAUUGGCUCCGUAACUUCGGGAGAAGGAGUGCCUGCCGUGAAGACGGCAGGUCGCAGUGACCAGGGAACUCUAACUGUCUAAUAUCAACAUAGGAGAUCGCAAACCCGUAAGGGCUAGUACGAUCUCUGAAUCCUGCUCAGUGCAGGUACCUGAAACUUCGGUUCAACGGAAUGAAGGGCCUGUAAACAGCGGGGGUAACUAUGACCCUCUUAAGGUAGCGUAGUACCUUGUCGCUUAAUUGGCGACUUGCAUGAAUGGAUCAAUGAGAGUUCUACUGUCCCUAGCCAGAGUCCGGUGAAGCUUACAUUCUAGUGCAGAGUCUAGAGACCUCUAGGGGGAAGUGAAGACCCCGUGGAGCUUUACUGCAGCCUGUCGCUGGGUUGUGAUUUUGGAUGUACAGUGUAGGUAGGAGACGUCGAAGCCGGUGCGCCAGCAUCGGUGGAGUCGCAAUUGGGACACUACCCUUCCAAAGUUACGACCCUCACUCCGUGAGGAGGACCCCGAUAGGUGGGCAGUUUGCCUGGGGCGGGACGCCCUUGAAAAGAUAUCAAGGGCGCGCAAUGGUUAACUCAAGUGGGUCGGAAACCUACUGAAGAGUGCAAGAGCAUAAGUUAGCCUGACGUGAUUCAGCACAGUAGUGGAUUACGAGACGAAAGUCGGUUCUAGCGAACCUUUAUGUCCCGCUUGGUGCGGGCUAAAGAUGACAGAAAAGUUACCCCGGGGAUAAUUGAGUCGUUGCCGGCAAGAGCACAUAUCGACCCGGCAGCUUGCUACCUCGAUGUCGGUUCUUUCCAUCCUGGCUGUGCAGCAGCAGCCAAGGGUGAGGUUGUUCGCCUAUUAAAGGAGAUCGUGAGCUGGGUUUAGACCGUCGUGAGACAGGUCGGUUACUAUCUACUAGAGGUGUAUGUGGUCUGAGGGUAAGUUGCUUUUAGUACGAGAGGAACAGAGCAACGGCGCCACUGGUCGAUCGGUUGUCUGACAAGGCACUGCCGAGCAGCUACGCGCUAAGGAAUAAGAGCUGAAUGCAUCUAAGCUCGAAAUCUAACCUAAAAAGAGACCACUUUAAGGGUUCCGGUAAAAGACCGGAUCGAUAGGAAUGGGAUGUAAGCACCAAGGCAACGAGGUGUUCAGUCCGCAUUUACUAAUAUCCGUGCCUC